rnacentral:tRNA from 1 species
AGAGUCUUAGGUUAAUACUAAGACCAAGAGCCUUCAAAGCUCUUAGCGAAGGUGAAAUUCCUUCAGACUCUG